UCUAAAUGCUGAUCUGUGGCUGUGUGACAGCUCUGUCUUGGCUGCCCCGGAGCCUGCUGGGGUCUGCUCCUUGCCCUGUUGGGAGGUGGCAGCAUAAGUGCACAGCUAGGUGGGACCAGGGAGCACCUGCUGUCCUUUACCUCAGCUCUCAGAGGAAAAGAGUCUGAGCCAUAAACUGACAAACAUUGCUGGGACAUAGGACCACCUGCUGGAGUUGCUUUUCAGUGGAGGGGGUGCAGGAUGAGGAAGGCUAUCCAAGCAGCUAUUCGCCAAAUGCCGAGCUAACUCUGGGGCUUCUCAUCCCAGGCAAGGGUGGACUGAGUGGCUCUAGCCCAUCAGCUGUCAUGAAGAUUAUAUGAGAUAAUGCAUGUGGAGCAUCUGGUACAUGAUAAAUACUCAGUAGAUUGGCUCCUUCUUUUCUGUGGUCUUCCCUGGUAGCUUGAUUUUUAUGAAGCUGGUAGGAGCCCUGGGUGCAUGAGGAGAUUCACAGUUGGUGGAAAUCAGAUGAAGUUCUGCACAGCUUUGCUGAGAAAACUAAUUUCUGUUUCCUCUGGGUUACAUUCUUGUCACCCGCUUUACCACGAGCUGGUCAAACCGAGGCAGAGAGAAUCGAUUGGUUAGGAAUACAAGGCACAGGAAGGAUAAGAGAAUCACCAAAGAUCAUGUAGGUAAACUGAAGUAUCCCACUCUUUGUUCUGGAAGUCCUAUUUCCUGGGCCCUUGUACUUGGUUUUGUUUGGAUCUUCUUGAGCUGUAACAGCUAAACCUGCAGUUGCUGUGGGUAAGGUGGAGAAUAAAACACCCAAGUCCUGUCUUCAUGCAGCAGCAUAGUGAGCGGCUUCCCUUUUUACACAGGAGGGCCAGGGACUUCUCUGAUAAGUAGGAAAGCAUUGGAGUAUCACAAGCAAAGAACUGGCCUGAUCCAACUUCACAUUUCAAGAAAUUCACUGACUAGUCUGCAGAGAAGAUGCUGUGGGACCAGAAUUGUGGAGGCAAGGAGGCCAUUAGACAGCUCGUGUAACAAUCCAGUUGAGAGGCAGUGGUGGCCUGGGACAGGGUGAUGGUGGAGGUGAGGAGGUAAGGGCAAAAGGACUUUGGAUCAUGUUUAUAGUUACACAGGAGAGAAAGGGAAGAGUCAAUGAUGAGUCCCAGGUUUUCAGCUUGAGAAAUUGCAAGAACUGGCUGAAUGAAGUUGCCCUUCAUCUCCGAGUGAGGAAUAUUGUAGGAAGUGUGUUUGGUGUGUGUGUGUGUGUGUGUGUGUGUGUGUGUGUGUGUGUGCAUGUUUGUAUAUCACAGCAGAGAAUUGUAAAAUGAAAGUAAGAGAUGUAUUUUGUGUAUUUUAAAUUUGAGCUACCUCCGAGUAAGGAUUUUAAGCAAGUGGCUAGAUAUGAAUGUGACAUGUUUAGAAGAAAGGUUGGGGCUGGAGUUUUCAGUGUGUGAUCUUAAAAGGCCCGAGGCUAAAUGAGAUUACUUAGAUAGAUAGAUAAAUUCAUAAAAAAGGGGUCAGAGCACUGAACCCUGGAGCACUCCUACACACCAUUUAGAGCUUGGGGAAAGAGAGGGAAGCAGCAAAGAAGAGCAGUUGCUUAAAAGCAGUUUUGGUGGCUAUGUGGCAGCAGCUAUGUAAAUACUGGGUUUCUGUAUUAGAGAUCUGCUCCCAAAGUGGGGGGCCACCAGGGAAUAUUUAUGUUGUGUGUGGCCACUACUCAGGAUCACUGCCAAAAAAGACUCCUUUCUUAUCAUUGAGAAAUAUGCAGAAGAUUGUUCAGUUACUGCUAAGAUGGAAAAUUAGGUUGAAUUUAAUUAGUUUCAAUUAGGGAAAUUUGCUUAAAUGAAUAGAAAGCAAAGAGAUUGUAUAUAUUCCAUAAUAUAAGCAUACCUGUAAUAUAUGAUAGAAACAAGAAACUCUUGAUACUAUGGAUAUACAAAUCAUCAGCCUGUGCACUUAUAAACCCACACAGCAUGUGGUAUAUAAAUUCAGGUAUCAGAAUGCACGUUAACAAAGUCAUCUAUACAAUACAUGAAAAGAAAAUUUGGGCUUUGGAACUCUUUUUCUCUCUGAUUGCAAUUGGUGUUUAGUUUUUUAGGUAACCCCAGAGAAAGCUUGUUUAAUGCAUGAUGUAUCUCAGGUGUGGAUCUAAUUGUUCAGUUUUGAAUUUUCAACCAUGUGGUUAAAAGUUUUCUUCAGUUGCAUUUUUAGACAACAGCAACUGCCUCUCUGGUUGACAACAAACACCAGACGAAUUCUCACUUGGAGAGAAUCAAUCCAGCAUAACAGAGAGAAGCAGAGCCUGGAGACAGAGACAACUAAUGACAAGACUUGAGACCUAUCCAGCUACAUCCAGAGCCAACAUGCCCCAGGACUUCUAAGUUCAAGAGCCAGUCAAUGCCCCUCUUUUUUCUUAAACUAGUUUUAUUUGGGUUUCAGUCACUUGCAUCAGAAAGAGUCCUGACUAAUAUGACAGAGUAAUGAGAUGGUAUUAACUCUGAAUUUUAGAAGGACACCACAGUGGAUAGCAUGAGACCUCAAUUUAUCAUCUGACUUCAAAUUACAACCUGCAGGGUGUUUCUCCUUAAGCUUAUUGGUGGUAGAUAAUUCUUAUUCUUUGAUUCAAGGUAGUGUGGGAACAGACUGGUGUCUGCAUUUUCCCUUUGGAGCUUGUUAUUUUUCUCAUAACAGAUGAGUUAUUUGUAAGCAAAAAUUAAAGAUAAAAAUCAAUUCCCAUCAUCUUAAAAAAACGUGGGGAGUAUGCCCCUAGAGUUAGAUCUGCAGAGCGAUUCAUGUAUAGAGUGCUGCUGUGAAGCCAGCCCACCGAGCCCCCAUAACUCAGGAACUGAGAGUUUUAUGCUAAUUGAUUAGAAAGUUUUGCUACAGCAGCCAGGGUGAAAAUAGCAAAUCUCUAGGUAAUCUGGAAAAUUACUUAAUGAUAGCUAACUAGUAACAGCUAAUUGAUAAGUCAGCACACACUGUAGGUCUGUUAUUGUUUUGAGUGCUUCUUGCGUGUCACCACAAGUCUGAUCAAAUCUGGCUAUUGUCAUUGUUCCCAUUUUCCAGGUGAGAAAGAUUAAGCCAAGAGAGGUGCCCAGGCAGUCUGAUGCUAACAUGACAUGUUCUUCAUCAGGGCACUACACUGCUCUAGGCUAUUAGUCCAUUUACAGAAGCUCCCUUUGUUUAGCAGCAAGUCCCAGGUCUCCCUGACAAAGCAAGGUUUGGGGCAAGAGACAAAAUUACCUGGAUAAUAAGGAAGAAGGAAAAAAGUCAGUUUCUGUAUGAAAUAUAUUCUUCCAUUUGUUUCAGCGGUGGCAAAAUUUUCCUGGAGGUUUUAAAUAUUGUUCAGUGAAUGGUUAUCAGUAUUACUGGCAAAGAAUAAAGAGAAAUAAAAAUAAUGAUUUAAUCAUGUCUUUUUAUCUGGAAGGAAACACUUUAAAAUCAUAGUUCUCCACCGUGGAUAAUUUGGCAAUGUCUGGAGGCUUUUUGGCUGUCACAACUGGGAAGUACUACUGGAGUCAAGGGGGUAGAGUCCAGGGAUGCGCCCUGCACUACAGAGGACAGCUCGCCCCUCCAGUCCCAGAGGAAUUACCUGGUCCAAGUGACCACAGUGCCCAGGCUGAGAAACGCUACGUUAAACAUUAAAACAACAAGGAGUCACUGAGUAUAUUUUUCAUGAGCUAUGUGAACACACUUCUCCAAGCACAGAAGAAUUUGAAAAUAGGAGACAACAUAUUAUCUUGGCAAGUGCAGAACACAAAAAUAACUUUAAGGAAAUGACAUAACUUAUGUUGGACAUAUGAAUAGUGUGAUGAUCUGGAGUUUCUAAUUAGAAAGAAAAUGUAUCAGUUUAAGCAAAGCUCUUUGUGGUUUAGAGGGGACAGUUUUCAAAACUGCCAACUUAUGAUACAAUUAUUGAAAAAAAUCUAUUUUCUUAUGAUGAGACAGCUUAAAUUCAUCAGCAAUGACCGUAGCAGACUUUUCAUCAUUCUUUGAAUAUUUUUCAACAGUGAGGGCUUUAGUUACUCUAGUAAGACAUGACUUAAUUUAAAAAAGGGAAUUUUUAACUAAGUGGGA